UUUUUUUUGUUUUUGAGAUGAAGUCUUGCUCUUGUCACCCAGGCUGGAGUGCAAUGGUGUGAUCUCGGCUCACUGCAACCUCGACCUCCCGGGUUCAAGUGAUCCGUCUGCCUCGGCCUCCCAAAGUGCUGGGAUUACAGGCGUGAGCCACCGCGCCCGGCCAUUCCUUAAUGUUUAACACCCAGUGCAUAUUCAGAUUUUCCCAGUUGUCCGCAGGAUGUCUUUUAUAGCUGCUUUCUUCAAACCAGGAUCUAUUCGGAGACCACACAUUGCAUUUGAUUUUUAUGUCUUUUGAGCCUUUUAAAAUUUAGAGCAGUUCCCUAUAACCCCUUCUUUUGUUUGUUUUAUGAAAUUGGCUUGUUGAACUUCACAAAACACGAGUUGGGGUCAUGCCAACUGUACCGUUAGUGAUUAGUUUACAUAUAGGGAAAAUAAUUUGUGAAUGUUGGUC
rnacentral:lncRNA from 10 species